AAAAAACAAAGAGAAAAAAAGGAAAUGAAUGAAAGAAGAAGAAAAAAAUGUGAAUAAAAAUUAAUUGAAAAUAAGUGUUUAAAAAAGGGUCUUAAGAAGAAGGGAAUACCAUGCUAACUAACCAUUUGUGGGUCUCUCAAUUUCUUGCGUCCUAUCAUUUAUAAGAAGUAUGUGAGGAACAAUAUGCUCAUAUGAUUGUCCCAUUCUCCUCCAAAUCAUUUCAA
rnacentral:lncRNA from 1 species